CUAAUCUAUUCACAACCUCCAGGCGAUGGAAACAACUGGACUUGGAAACCAGGAAACUGAAAAGCAUGUAAUUUUCUUAUAGGAAUUUCUUUUAUGUCCUCAUGAAUAAGUCCAACUGUCUUAGAUAUCUCUUGAUGCCGAUAAACGGUGCUAUCAUAAACCAGAUGGGCCAAUGAAUUCAAUUAAAUAGAUUGCUUUGCCUAGAAUGAUCAAAAGCGUGUCAGCUUCUUUGAAUUCUGGCAUUUCUACACAGUCCUACCCAAUUGGCAGCCAUCCCUGUUUCAAAGACUGCAGCCUUUCUGCUUAUUAACUAAGAACUGGUGUCUUUUUUUUUUUGAACAAGAUUAGUUUGCACCACAAUAUUGAGUCCCUUCAUGUCCAAAGUGUCUCUCAUACAAGUCUGAGCAGUUACAAUGUCGAUAAAGAAGCUCCCAAAUUCCUGCAACCCUGGGAAAAGGGAUCAGAUAGCAAAAUCAAUGACACUUAACAGCCGGCGUAUGUUUUCUGUCAGCUGUCAACUAAACCCCAAGAUUUAAUUGGUACUGUGGUUAAAAAUAUACAUUGCUAGUAAGUAUUGGCACAAAGAAAUAGUUUGAUUCAUGUGAAUCUGGGACUUUUUGCCAUGUGGCUUCAUUUAUUUUGUGUAGUUCCCGGCUCCUUGCCCUUGCCUGUCCCUGUUCUCUAAGAAGCAAGUCACUCAUCCCCUAAACAGAACUGGAAGUCAGAGUUUUCUGUAGAAAGGACACAGAUAAUAAGCUCAAUAUUGACUUUGAGUUCUCGUGUAGAUGGUUUAAAUUGACUCUGCAUUGCGAAGCUAGUUCCUAGGGAUCGAAUACUGUGAGGCAUCACUGAAGUGUCCGAGAAUCUUGACAUUUUUGUCUUAAUUCUUCUAAUUAUACCAAGCUUGCAAGGCAAAGGUUGGCAGAAUCAAAUUCUGAGACAUUCUAGUCAAUUGACAUUUGCUGAAGCCUGGUGUGAGCCCAGCAGGACCCAAGGUAAGUCUAGACAGGAAGUGAAGAUAAACAGAACCCUAGGUCUCCAUAAGAAGUGUAUAAUCUAGCAAGCUAGAUUCACAAACACAAUUCUGACAGAAACUUGAGAGGGGCCAGUGAAGAUAGGGUAGCAAGGGACAGAGAUUGAAACAUUGGAAAGGUGGAUCCCAUGGGCUUUUGGUCUGUGUGCACUGGCCAAAGCAUAAAGUGCUUCCUGGGUGGCCACUAUCCAGGCAAGCACUCAUUUAACUCCACAGCACUGCUAGGACCAGAGAGAAUGAUCCUAGUGGCUUUAAACCAAGACAACUGAAGCUCAUUACUGUAGGUAGCUUUGCCAAACUGGCUAAGGGAUGGAGUUCAUAUUUAAGCAUGGUUAUGCCUGAUUCCAAGCUCUGGUGUUGCACUACUGCCAGGCUUCCGGGAGAGGGAAGAAACACACAGAAUUGGCAUCAUGGCAACCGGUGGUGGUGUGUUUGCCAUACAGGCAGAGCAAGCCCUAUUUCAGUUUUCUUAUUUUGAUGAGUUGGUUUGGGGUUAAAUCCAGAUAGAGUAGAGUAUGAAAGAAAAAUGGGUCAUUUUUCCUCCCUGAAAGACUAAUGCUUCUAUGUAGUUCGAAUGUGUUUGGUUUGAAUGGCUACAAGGACAGUUAGUAGACUCGUUUUAGUAGAAAAUGUGUGACUGGAAAAAAAAGUUAACUUGUUCUCUAACU
rnacentral:lncRNA from 1 species